CCCCCCCCCCCACCACCACCCAAAACAACUCUCGAUAAGAUGUGUAUCUUCAUUUUCCAUGUACUCUUAACUAUGUGCCUCCGUAGUCUAGAAAUCCAUUUUUUGUGCGACUUGUAAGUUUUAGCGAUUCUGCACGAGCAUUUUUUUUUGAAAAGCUUACUAUAAUUUCUGUUUUUUACUUAAGUUUUUGAAUUGCAAGGCUGAGUAAUCUUGUAGACAGUUUACGGUUUAUCUUACUUUAGAGUUUAGAAUAUUCAAGUUAGCUAGAAGAAUUUGAAAUCUUGGUACACUGAAAGGUGUCCCUUUCUAAGUAUCACCGAUCCUUAUCAAACAAUUAAGCAUUAUUAUGGUUCUAUGAAUUAUGAUUUAAUCAGAAAUUAUUAUAUCAAACAGCUUCUCAUUCUUUGACAGUUAAGUAACCAAUGAUUAGAAUCAGGACAAGAAAUGGCUAAGAGUGGUGAUCAAGUACUUGAUGCUAUUACAGCCGCUGGUAUGGAUGACCAUGCAAGAGUUUGAUCAGCCAGUCACUGUCGGUCACAUGACGAUACACUUACACCGUGAGCAGAAUACUUUGAAUUUGGUUGCUGAUGUUCACAAGAUGGAGGUGCUUCCGAAGGCGUUUGAUCAUGGGCUGGAUGCAGGUGCGGAGUUCAUAAAGCUAGGGUUUGAUAUUUCAGUUGAGGAUUUGCAGUCCGGUGUUCCUUUUGCUGCAGUUAACAUCAAGAGACACCAGUGCAAGGUCUGUGGGAAGUUAUUAAGGCCAGGGCGUGCUUUGGGAGGGCACAUGAGGUUACACUAUGUCCGUGAGUGCAAUCUUGCUGAUUGUCCUAAUUCUGCUAUGAUGGAAGAGCAAAUGCAGAAGCAUUGGACUCACCAAUCUUUUUAUCUGCGUAUACCACGUUCACAUGGGAUUGAAAUCUGAUUCUAAGCCAAAGUUGGGUUCAACAUGUUGUCCGAAACAACCAGUUAAGUUGUCUAGACUCAUUUGGAACUUGAAGAACUCCAUUUCAUCGGCUGGAUUCUGUAGAUAGUUAAGAGAUUUCGAGACUGGCACUUUCUUGAUCAACAAAAAAUGGCGGAUAUGGAAGGGCAAGGAUCUUAACUCACCGCUCGCCUAUGAAACAGUGUCAAAAUUUGUCGAAAAGUAACAAUCAAUUAAAGUAUUUAUAUUGAAUAAUAUUUUUAUUUUUGAAGGUAGUCUAGUCUUGAGUUUACAGAAAUUCAACAUCUAUAUUUUUGUGGUUAUUGGGGCUUGACUUUUGUUUUUUCUCAUUGAAUAAUUUUAAUUCAUGUGAUACUAAUUGUAGUUGCUUGUUUGAUUUUCGAAAAUACACGUCCUUCUCAUGCUUACAUAUUAUUUUCUAUAAAUAUAAAUUUUAUUUCACCUGGUUUUUGAAAAAUACGUGCGUGCUGCAACUUUACAUAUUUUUGUCCUGUUUCCAUAUCUUUUCAAAAGGUUCCUGUGCCCAAUGAGCUCAAGAACACUCUUUCUUGAAUUUGAGUUCCUGAAAUAUCAAACUGAUGUAGGUGCAUUAAUAGCAUCCUUUUUAGUUUUUAAAUUUGUUUUUAUCUGAACUUAUUGAUCUAAGAUUGUGAGAAUGACCCUUUUAUAUUCUUGCAAAGGAAUUUGUUGCUAGGAGAAUUAACAGUGCACAUGUAAGUUUUGGGCGUUGCUUGAAUGAAGAUAUAUGCUGUGCAACUUUCAGGCAGAUAUCGAUAACAGUGGUUCCAUUGAUUACGGAGAGUUCCUUGUUGCAACUUUACAUCGGAACAAAGUUGAACGAGAAGAUGAUCUCUUCGCAGCAUUCUCCUACUUUGAUAAAGAUGGCAGUGGUUACAUUACUCAUGAUGAGCUACAAAAGGCAUGUGAGGAGUUUGGUAUACGAGAUACACACGUAGAAGAUAUUAUCAGCGAUGGCGUAUUUGAAUUUUUUUUGUUUAUUUUUACUGAAACGAAGAAACUAUUGUUUAUAUUAAUACAAUAUUGUGAGAACAAGUUAACGUGAUAUUAACAUAUGAGGUUUAUUAGUUG